AAAUUGAAGAGUUUGAUCAUGGCUCAGAUUGAACGCUGGCGGCAGGCCUAACACAUGCAAGUCGAACGGUAACAGGAAGCAGCUUGCUGCUUCGCUGACGAGUGGCGGACGGGUGAGUAAUGUCUGGGAAACUGCCUGAUGGAGGGGGAUAACUACUGGAAACGGUAGCUAAUACCGCAUAACGUCGCAAGACCAAAGAGGGGGACCUUCGGGCCUCUUGCCAUCGGAUGUGCCCAGAUGGGAUUAGCUUGUUGGUGGGGUAACGGCUCACCAAGGCGACGAUCCCUAGCUGGUCUGAGAGGAUGACCAGCCACACUGGAACUGAGACACGGUCCAGACUCCUACGGGAGGCAGCAGUGGGGAAUAUUGCACAAUGGGCGCAAGCCUGAUGCAGCCAUGCCGCGUGUAUGAAGAAGGCCUUCGGGUUGUAAAGUACUUUCAGCGGGGAGGAA
rnacentral:rRNA from 2 species